UGAAGCGAGAGUUGUUGUCGUAGCUCAGCAGUUAAAAGCGUCGAAGCGCGUACUCUUGGUUCUGGGUCCGAUACCAAAGACGCGACCCCCUUUUUCGGUCUUUGAAGACUUUCCAUCAAGCCAAAAAGUGGUAGGUCUCCUUCAAGGAGCAGGGAAUCCCAUAUUAAGUACAUGGGGAUGCCUAACGUACUUCAACUGCUGGGGUUAGAAACUAUCAUUAAUUUCAGCACAAAUUGCCUG